rnacentral:rRNA from 1 species
UACGUAGGGGGCUAGCGUUGUCCGGAUUUAUUGGGCGUAAAGAGCGUGUAGGCGCCAGGUAGGUCCGUUGUGAAAACUCGAGGCUCAACCUCGAGACGUCGGCGGAAACCAUCUGGCUAGAGUCCGGAAGAGGAGAGUGGAAUUCCUGGUGUAGCGGUGAAAUGCGCAGAUAUCAGGAAGAACACCCGUGGCGAAGGCGGCUCUCUGGGACGGUACUGACGCUGAGACGCGAAAAGCGUUGGGGGAGCAAACAGG